AUUGAACGCUGGCGGCAGGCCUAACACAUGCAAGUCGAGCGGAGCGGCGGACGGGUGAGUAAUGCCUAGGAAUCUGCCUGGUAGUGGGGGAUAACGUCCGGAAACGGGCGCUAAUACCGCAUACUAUCAGAUGAGCCUAGGUCGGAUUAGCUAGUUGGUGGGGGAAAGGCCUACCAAGGCGACGAUCCGUAACUGGUCUGAGAGGAUGAUCAUUCACACUGGAACUGAGACACGGUCCAGACUCCUACGGGAGGCAGCAGUGGGGAAUAUUGCACAAUGGGGGAAACCCUGAUCCAGCCAUCCCGCGUGUGCGAUGAAGGCCUUCGGGUUGUAAAGCACUUUUGGCAGGAAAGCGUUACCCGCAGAAGAAGCACCGGCUAACUCCGUGCCAGCAGCCGCGGUAAUUC
rnacentral:rRNA from 1 species